AUUCAUAUUUGAAAUCCAAAGCGCCUCUUUCCUCUCCUUUCUCCGCCGCGUCGGGAAUAGUCCUCCACGACGAAGAUCCUUAAAAGACGAAUUGAACACCAACGCCUUACUCUAAAUCCAGUCCUCAUCACGGAUCCGGGAACAAUAUCUCAUGAUUGCACGAGAAUCAGGCAAAUCAAAGAAAAAAACAUGCGUACCCUAACUAUCAAAAGACAAAAUUAAAAUUCACACGCUUGGAAUCAAAGCCCUAGGGGUUGGGGCUUUGAUUCCCUCAGCUGAAACCUACAUUUUGGCAAUAAGAUUGAGGCGAACGGCGAGGGAAAUAGGAUACUCACCAGAGAAGAAGAUGCGGCGGUGUCCGGAAUUUAGGUGAAUCUCCUCUUCAUCUUCUUCUCUCCUCGAAUAUUCUUCUUUCUCAACCUUCUUCUUCUUCUUCUUUAAUAUCUAGCCUAUAGGAAUGGUGUGGUCAUCCUUGAGGUCUGUGUGUGUGCCUUUAGAAGAUUUUUGAGAGAUGCACGAUUUAUUGCAAUGGAGAGAGAGUGAUGAAGGUUGAAGCUCAACCGAUUAGAGCUUCUGAUGCUGAAGCUCUAUCAAUUAUGGCGAUUUAGAGAAAAUGGUGAAGUUUGAGGGGUAGAGAAGAGUGAACAGUUCCAGCAGAAGAAUGGAAUCCCUCUUUUGAGUGAACCAUUAGGUUAUGAAUUUAUAGGAAUAGAUUUUCUGUUAGAAACCCCAAAUGAAAUUCAGUUGAAAUGAAAUUGUCCGUUAGAAAUGCAAUAAGUUGUUAUAAGUUUGUUAGUUAGUUAUUUUGCUGGUUUCUAUUAAAUUGGUUUUGGUUAAAUGAAAAGUUUGAUUUCUGAUUCAGCUAAAAAUGAAAUGUUAAAAUGAGAUGUCUAUUAGUAAUUUGCAAUUUAAUCUAAAUGAGAUGCAUGGCCAUAUUGUAGGUUAGUCCUUAUACUCAAUUAUGUUAAGGUUGAAUUGCAGUUCUGUUGUGUACAGUGAUUAGCAGAGUUAGAGGUGGUUAAUAGGUAAAUCCAAUUACUGAAAUCCUGUCAUAAUCUAUUAUUCAGUUAGUUCACGUGAUGGUAGUGAAUGGGAAAUGUGAAAUCCUACUGAUGCGGCUAGUUUGAUGUUGCAUUCUGCUAGUUAAUUCUUGCACUAAAAUGUAUUGCCGUAUAUUUUGUUCCUUCUACCGUGGCCUAUUUUGCAAUGCAAUGCUAUUCACAAGUGAAGGUGAAACUUUGUUAGGGAAAUACGGGUGAAAAUGUGAGAUGAUGAGACGUUGGUGAAGCUUAUUGAAAUGAAACUCAAUCUUUUCUUUUAUCUCGAUGAAGGUUAAUUGAUUUUGCAGGUUAAUGGCUAGUGGAAGCUAAAGAGUCAUGAUGGAAAAUCAAGGAUUCAAAUGCAACUCUGUUAGAAUGCUGUUAAUCUCUGUUAACUUUGUUAGGCUGCUGCAGCUUGGAUUAAUGUGAACAUGCCUGGGACUGAUACAGGUUGUUGACCGUUGGGCUUGAUAUUUGCGCAGGUUUUAGAAUGCCUUUGGUGAUGGCAAUGGGCAACUGCUAUUAUGGAUGUAGGAUGGAGUGCAUUGCUGCAGAGAUUAAGGUGCUGGACGGUCUACUAAACGCAGGUUUUGCAGGCUGAUGUCGUUGUUUGGGCCUGCGACAUAAUCCAUUGACUGCAGGGUGUUGCAGUGUUCGUAUUCUUGGUGCUAAAUGAAAUGGUUUUUCCCAAGUAGAAUUCAAAUGAACUUUAGUCAUUAGUCACCCUUUGCACAUGUAAUGAAAUUCUACUUUCAAUGAGAUGAAUGACGGAUAGUCGUGCUGAAAAAUCAUGUGUCUAGUCCGAACUGUUGGAAGGUUCUCUUCUUGCAAAUCAUUGUCUAUGCAGGACUAGUGCUAUGCUUAUGUCGAAGACCCUUGGAAAAAUAGCACAAUAAAAUCUAGCUUAAUAUCCACCAAAACGAGUCUGGCUUCUUCCAGGACUGGGAGGUAUUCUGCCAUAGGUGCAACAGAUGCUGAUGACGUUCCUAAGCUAAAAAAUAGAACACUCACUUGGAUAAUACUCGCAUUCUAUAUGGAAAAGCUGCUUUAUUGUUGAUGGAAAAGUAUGAACACGAUAGUGAGCUUGCAUCUAAUUCCUCAUCACUCUUAGCCAAAGGCUUGGUUUUGAAGAGGUCUGUGUGAAAAUCUAAUUGUGAAGCUCGAACUAUGGCAGGUGGAGGUUGAUCUGGACAAGUUUGUUGCAUUACCUUUGCAUUGCAGGUCAAUUUGGUUUCAUGGCAUUGUGACACAUAUUGGAGCAUGUUUUCAAGGCAAAUCCAAGGCAUUUCGAAGUGUUAAGGCAUGGCAAAGUUUAUGGCAUAAAUUGGAUGCGAAAACAAUGUUUCUUGCCCAUGAAGCAAAUGGAAAAGAAAUCUUAUGCAAGAGUAAAAAUGCAAUGAGUACCAUGGAUUUAGGUCAUGGAAAGUAGAGGAGUUGGCUUUGGUCAACCGGCUGACAAAAAAUCAAUAGUUGACCAAAUUCAACUGUAGGUCAAAAAAUUCCGUUUUUCUGUGUAAUUUUUUAUGUAUUCUUGUAGUAUAAUUUUUAUGUGAAUGAAAUGCAUUUUCCUUUUGUUAAAAAUGUUAUGAUGAAACAUGAAGAAGACUUGAAUUGAAA